GAUGAACGCUGGCGGCGUGCCUAAUACAUGCAAGUCGAGCGAACAGACGAGGAGCUUGCUCCUCUGACGUUAGCGGCGGACGGGUGAGUAACACGUGGAUAACCUACCUAUAAGACUGGGAUAACUUCGGGAAACCGGAGCUAAUACCGGAUAAUAUAUUGAACCGCAUGGUUCAAUAGUGAAAGACGGUUUUGCUGUCACUUAUAGAUGGAUCCGCGCCGCAUUAGCUAGUUGGUAAGGUAACGGCUUACCAAGGCAACGAUGCGUAGCCGACCUGAGAGGGUGAUCGGCCACACAGGAACUGAGACACGGUCCAGACUCCUACGGGAGGCAGCAGUAGGGAAUCUUCCGCAAUGGGCGAAAGCCUGACGGAGCAACGCCGCGUGAGUGAUGAAGGUCUUCGGAUCGUAAAACUCUGUUAUUAGGGAAGAACAAAUGUGUAAGUAACUAUGCACGUCUUGACGGUACCUAAUCAGAAAGCCACGGCUAACUACGUG
rnacentral:rRNA from 1 species